CACCGCUGAAAAUUGCAGUUCCUCAGGAAACAAAGUGGUAAGCACAUGAGUUAUAAAGGUCACAUGAAGCUCUCCAUAACAGACUCUGUGACAGGAGGUUGUAGCAAGGUGGCAGUCAGCCUCUUCUCCCAGGUAACAGUGAUAGGAUGAGAGAUAAUAACCUUAAGUUGCAGCAGGAGAGGUUCAGGUUGGAUAUUAGGAAACAUUUAUUUUCCAGAAGAGUGGUCAUGCAACGGAACAGGCUGCCCAGGGAUGUAGUGGAGUCACUGUCCCUGGAGGUGUCCCGGAACCGUGUGGAUGUGGCACUGAGAGACAUGUUUUCCAACUCUGGGCCAGACCCAGGGGCUAGCAGACCCCAUAGUUGUACCCCACAGCCUGAUCUGCACCGGACACCUUCCUCUUGCUGCCGCUUUUGUCUUAAACCAGGCUCCCGUGUCAUGGUCCUGCUGGGUGUUGAAGCCUUCUAUCUGCCCCAAUGGCCCAGGAUGAUGGCCAUGGUUGGUGAGGUGGCUGGUGGUUGCCCAAAAGUGCUGUGGGGCUCACCCUCCGCCACCUCUCUCCUUAGCCCCUGGCCAUGCACGAUCAGACUGGAAGCAGCACAACUGAGAGCCAUUUGCUCUGUCUGAGUGUGCACGUGUUUUACGGAGUGGUGACAACAUGAUGUACACAUUUCAACCAGAUGUGAUGGCUGUGUAGCAUAGUAGCACCAGGGACGCUCGACUGCGCAGUAAGUGCC
rnacentral:lncRNA from 1 species